UCAAUCAACCAAGAACAAGUUGUGUACAUCUAAGUUUGUUGCAGAAAAUUUCAAAGAUGAAAUUACAUGUCAACCAUAUAUAAGAUUGUGGGAAAUUUAGGAAUUGGUGAGGAAAAAAUUUGGGUUAUAUGUUGGAAGAACUGUUUGUUAUAGGGCAAAAAAGAGGGUUAUCGAGGACUUUUUAGGUGAUUGGAAGAUGAAAUUUUCAAGAUUGUGUGAUUAUGCAGACAUGAUUAAACAUACUAAUCCUGAUACUUCAUGUUGGGUGAGGACAGAUAGAGAGUCUCAGCCAGGAAAAACUUUGUUUGUUUACUUUUAUGUUUGCUUUGAUGCAUUGAAGAGAGGCUGGUUGGAAGGAUGCAGAAAAAUUAUUGGUUUUGAUGGACGUUUUCUAAAGGGUUCUUGCAAGGGUGAAUUGUUGGUUGCUGUUGGUAGAAAUGGAAAUCAACAGAUGUUUCCAAUUGCAUGGGCUGUUGUUGACACAGAGACAAAACACAGUUAGAGUUUUUUCCUCAAUUACGAGAUAGAAGAUCUGAACUUAGGCACAGGACAUGGACUGACUGUCAUGUCAGAUAUGUAGAAGGGUCUUGUACCAACUUUAUGUGAGUUGCUACCAGAUAGUGAGCAGAGAAGGUGUGCUAGACAUAUCUGGUCCAUCUGGCAUCAAAUAUGGAGUGGUGAAGAAAGAAGGAACCAGUUCUGGAGAUGUGCUAAGUCAAGUUUUGAAGUGAAAUUUGAAGAUGAGAUGGAUAAACUCAACAAAUUAGGUAAUAAAAUUUGUGAGAACUUGUUGCAUUAUGAAAAACCUACUUGGUGCAAAGCAUAUUUUAAGGAGCAUUCUAAGUGUGACAUUGUUGAAAACAAUAUGUGUGAAACUUUUAAUUCUUGGAUACUAGCUGCUAGACAUAAGGCUAUCAUAACUAUGUUAGAGGAGAUUAGACACAAGAUAAUGGACAGAAAUAUUGCAAUGAGGCAAUUUGCUGAAACUUGGAUCUCAGAUAUCUCUCAUAUGGCUAGACUAGUACUUGAAGAGAACAAAGAUCUUGCUAGACUUUGUGAAGUUAGAUUCAAUGGUGAUAUUGGGUAUGAAAUCUUAGAUGGUCAGUACAGGCAUAUUGUUGAUAUAAGGAAGAAGACAUGUACAUGUAGGACAUGGCAAUUGAGAGGCAUACCAUGUC